GCCUCCCAAAGUGCUGGGAUUAUAGGCAAUGAGUUGAUUUUUAACUACUGGGUUUAGGCCAGGCAGGCCCAGGCCUGGUUUUGGGCCUGGCGCUGGGCUGCUUGUCUUUGGUUCUACUUCCUUGUUGUUUUUUUCUUAAAAGAGGUACUGAGUAUAAAACAAUAUAAAACAAUAUGAGAGGGUCUCUCUCUUCCCUCAUUUCCCCUCUUUGAGACUCUCACUUUUUAUCAGUGGGAGUUCUCACUCUUAUUUUUGCUACUUAUGUAUUUUCGUGCAAUAGAUUGAUAGUGAUUUAUAUAGUAUGCUUGUGCUGAAGCAUUUUGGUGAACUAAGGUUAAGCGACGAAGUUUUUUAUCAUUUGGAGAAAUACAGGUAUCAGACAAGGGAGCAGUAAGCAGGUUCCUAUUACUAUUAUUACUCUUAUUAUAAGAGUUUUAAAUCCACCUAUUGCUGGGAACCAAUUUCCAAACAUGGCUCCCAGAUUGAGUCCGUGCCACACUUGCACAGGUGCAUGUGCCAGUUUUGUUAUAUCUUUAACUAUAUCCUCAACUACUUGCCCCUGAUCAUCUAUGUGUAGACAAUAAUUAGUAAGGUCAAAUUUUUCACAAACUCCUCCUUCAGCUGCUAGCAAGUAAUCAAGAGCUAGUCUAUUUUGAUAGAUAGCAUUUCUCAUCAUAGUCUCUUGCCAGGCAAGAACAGUCAAGGCUUGAGUGGUUUUAUUAGUAAUAAUUUCUAAAACAGCUUGUAACCAUAUGAUUCGGUUGAGCAUGUAGAUGGGGGUUCCAUAUCCCCAUGAGACAUCUUGUGACCAAGUGGCAGGUCCAUAGUAUUGUAAGAUUUUUUCAGGGGGCCAUUCAUCGUCUUUCCAAUCACCUAUGGCUAUGCUUCAUUUUUCACAGGAAGCACAGACUGGGAAGCCCAGAAGUUUACCUGUUUUUAUGGGCACUAAGAAGAAAGAUGGCUUAAUGGUGCCAAUUACACAGCUACCUGUCCACUGAUCAGGCAGCUUAGCAUAAGCUCUGUGUCCACAUACCCAGUAUAACCCAGUGGGGGCCGUCCAGUCCCAGUGCAAUUCUGGGUGGGCCCAAACAGUCUGCAACUUUGGAAAUUUACUGAAUGGAUUUUUUUCUGUGUAAUUGGAACUCCACCAUGUAACUGUUUUUGUGGUACCAUUAUACAGC
rnacentral:lncRNA from 1 species